UACUUCAGGUACCCCCGGCUUUCAUGGCUUGACGGGCGGUGUGUACAAGGCCCGGGAACGUAUUCACCGCGCCAUGGNUGAUGCGCGAUUACUAGCGAAUCCAGCUUCACGAAGUCGGGUUGCAGACUUCGAUCCGAACUGAGAGAGGUUUUUGGGAUUGGCAUCCUGUCACCAGGUAGCGGCCUUCUGUACCCCCCAUUGUAACACGUGUGUAGCCCCGGACGUAAGGGCCGUGCUGAUUUGACGUCAUCCCCACCUUCCUCACAUCUUACGACGGCAGUCUCUCCAGAGUCCUCAGCAUGACCUGUUAGUAACUGAAGAUAAGGGUUGCGCUCGUUAUGGCACUUAAGCCGACACCUCACGGCACGAGCUGACGACAACCAUGCAGCACCUUCACAAAUGCCUUGCGGCGUAUGGGUUUCCCCAUAAUUCAUUUGCAAUUUAAGCCCGGGUAAGGUUCCUCGCGUAUCAUCGAAUUAAACCACAUGUUCCUCCGCUUGUGCGGGCCCCCGUCAAUUCCUUUGAGUUUCACCGUUGCCGGCGUACUCCCCAGGUGGAAUACUUAAUGCUUUCGCUUGGCCGCUUACUGUAUAUCGCAAACAGCGAGUAUUCAUCGUUUACUGUGUGGACUACCAGGGUAUCUAAUCCUGUUUGAUACCCACACUUUCGAGCAUCAGCGUCAGUUACACUCCAGUGAGCUGCCUUCGCAAUCGGAGUUCUUCGUGAUAUCUAAGCAUUUCACCGCUACACCACGAAUUCCGCCCACCUCUACUGCACUCAAGACUGCCAGUAUCAACUGCAAUUUUACGGUUGAGCCGCAAACUUUCACAACUGACUUAACAAUCCGCCUACGCUCCCUUUAAACCCAAUAAAUCCGGAUAACGCUCGGAUCCUCCGUAUUACCGCGGCUGCUGGCACGGAGUUAGCCGAUCCUUAUUCAUAUGGUACAUACAAAAGUCCACACGUGGACCACUUUAUUCCCAUAUAAAAGAAGUUUACAACCCAUAGGGCAGUCAUCCUUCACGCUACUUGGCUGGUUCAGACUCGCGUCCAUUGACCAAUAUUCCUCACUGCUGCCUCCCGUAGGAGUUUGGACCGUGUCUCAGUUCCAAUGUGGGGGACCUUCCUCUCAGAACCCCUAUCCAUCGUAGUCUUGGUGGGCCGUUACCCCC
rnacentral:rRNA from 1 species